AUCAGUUCAUAUAAUCAGUUUAUGCAGUCAGUUCAUCAGUUUAUAAAUAAGUUUUUUUUUUCCCUUGCUUUUUUCUAUAGUCUUUGUAAUCCCCUGCAAUAAAAAAAAUGACCACAUGGUGCGUUGUUCAGUUCAGAAGUGGGGCAACUGAAAUUGUGCCAAACUCAUGGGUUGAAGGAGAUAAAGUCUUCUGGCCCCCAUACCCUCCUAAGGACUCUAUUAGGCUGAAUGCAGCCAUCCUGAAUAGAGAGCAGCCUGGUCAGGGAUGGCACACAUACCAGCCUAUCCGUCUCCUCAUAACUCGUGAUAGUCAUGAUGAGGCAGCGAGGAGCCUGGACAGAUAUCUCAAUAAAGAUUGUGACACCACUGACAUCCAGUCUGAGGAGGAGAGCCACCAUGCCCUGAAAAGAAAAAGAAGACCGAAUCCAGUUUAUCACUCAGACGAGGAGCCCCAGAAUGAGCGCAGAUUCACCAAAGCCCCAAAAGUGUUAUUUCCAGCAGCGACCCAACUAGCCAGUCAGAACAGCCAACCAUCACCACCUCCACGAAUCUAUCAGACCCUCCAACGCCCCAAUUCCCCCAUGUUGUCUUACCCCAAUGUCCCAGCAUCGUUCCCUGGAGAUGAAUUGGUGUUCUCUCCAAUGAAUUUACUCCAGAGGCCAUCUCCUGAAGUUGUUUCAGAUUCUUCAGAAACUGUCAGGUUGGCAUUAAAAGAUGUGGCUACUCAAAAACUUCUUACUGCAGUGACAGAGCUGUCCAAGGAGGUGAAGGACCUGUGGGAGGAAUUUAGGCAAUUCCACCAGUCCUGCAGGUGUGGACAAUUGGAGUCUGUGGUACAGCCACUGUCGGAGCCCUUGGAGCUGCCCUUCCACACCAUGGAGGCCCUGGACCAUGCAGAAGAGACACUGUUAAAUGGCACAAACCGACAGGCAAUGACUGCUCGUCUCGCCACCAUUGGAGGGACUACCCUAGAGGUGAGGGUCCGCCGUAUGAUGGCACACCUGUUGUCGAAUGAACUGGCUUCAAGACUGAACUGGGCUGGAAAAAAGAACAAGGAGCCUACCAAACAAAAACGUCCCUUUAAAGAGUUGGCACUCUGCCGAUCUUUGUUUGGUAAGUCCUGCUGCAUUUUCAAUCACCAUUAUAUUAUCAAUCAGGCUGCAAGCCAAAGGGCCUUAAUGCACACUCCAACUCACCCCAUGCAGCACCAGGAAUCUUAGCACGAAGUUAACACAAUAAUCCAAAAUAAACCUCAGCAUUCAGUGACUUGUAACAGUGAUCUAUAAUUGUUAAAGGAUUAGUUCACCUCAAAAUGAGAAACAGUUGAAAUGUUGCCGAAAAGAUAAGAGCAACACACCGCUAAUCCAAAUGUAGACUUGUCUGUCGGCGGCCCUCCCUCUGGCUCUGACCUAGCAGCAGUAGCGCAGCGUCUAUGGCGUUAUUUUCCUUUCAAAUGUAGAGAGCGCAUUAUUGUAGCGCGAAAGUACAUUAAUAUAAUGCGCGAGCGCGAAUCUCUCUGCUCACGCGCGGAAUUUAAGGGCCAAGCGCGAACAAUAAACCUCAGCAUUCAGUGACUUGUAACAGUGAUCUAUAAUUGUUAAAGGAUUAGUUCACAUCAAAAUGAGAAACAGUUGAAAUGUUGCCGUAAAGAUAAGAGCAACACACCGCUAAUCCAAAUGUAGACUUGUCUGUCGGCGGCCCUCCCUCUGGCUCUGACCUAGCAGCAGUAGCGCAGCGUCUAUGGCGUUAUUUUCCUUUCAAAUGUAGAGAGCGCAUUGUUGUAGCGCGAAAGUACAUUAAUAUAAUGCGCGAGCGCGAAUCUCUCUGCUCACGCGCGGAAUUUAAAGUGCCAAGCGCGAACACCUCUGCUCGCGUGCUGCUCUUGUAAGAAUUGUCUCUGGGCUCGCUCAGAGUAUAUGCCUGCACUUAAAACGUGUUCAGUGCAAUGUACUUUCGCGCUACAAUAAUGCGCUCUUGACAUUUGACAGGAAAAGAACGCCAUACGCGUCAGGCACGCGACGCAGCUGACACGCAAUCGAAACUGUAAUAUGCUUGAUGCAUCACAAAUGUGGAGACAUGAGAUUUACUUAAUCUUUAUUAACAGGUGCAGAGCGGACAACGCAUCACGACACCGUCACAGCAGAUGACCUACUAACCCGGAACAACACUUCUUCUUCUUCUUCUUCUUCUUCUUCCUUGAUGUUUAACGGCGGUUGGCAUCCAACUUCAAUGGUGCAUUACCGCCACCUACUGUACUGGAGUGUGAACCGGAGCUAGACAAAGAGAAACUAAAACUAAAAUGGAGACUCCAACUCUCUUCCCCACCCUUUAAUUAAUAAUUAAAAAAAUAAAAAUAAAUUUAGAUUUCCAAAAUUGUCUUCUAUAUUCUAUUUGCUAUCCCUGUGUCCUUAAGGAAGGUAAAUAAAUGAGUACUGAUAUCAUUUGAAGUUAAUCCCAGAAGUUCCUUAAGUGAAUUCCCUUGCACCCCCAAAUUCCUUAUGCUUUCUUUCAUCUUUAUCCUUUCUCGAUCAUAUUUUUGGCAUUCAAGUACCACAUGUUCAACAUAUUCAAUACUGUCACAAAAUUCAAACAUAUUCAAUACUGUCACAAAUUCACAUCUUCCUGUUACAUGCUUACCUAAAAUAUGUAAGCACUUAUUUAACCCACAAUGUCCAAUCCUUAACCUAGUGAAAAUUAUUUCUUCCCUUCGACUCCUUCCAGUGAUCCUCUCUGUCUCAACCUUCUGUUGUAUUCUGUAUAAAUGUCUCCCUUUCUCCUCUCUAUCCCAACCACUCUGCCACUUUUUCAUAAUUUCCAUCCAGAUUUUUGUUUUAGCUUCUGUUUUACUCAUUAAGAUUGAUAUUUCCACAUCUUCUCUUUUACUGGCUUGUUUUGCCAAACCAUCUACCAUUUCAUUUCCUUUAACACCAACAUGAGCUGGUACCCAUGUAAAUUUUACCUUCACCCCCAACUGAGAAAUCCUUGUGUAACAUUCUAGUACCUCAUAUACUAUGUCUAGUCUUGAUUUUGACUUAAAUGAUUGCAAACUCUUUAGUACUGCACUAGAGUCUGAACAAAUUACAACUUUAUCCGGUCUUGUUUCUUCUACCCACUGUAGAGCCAACCAGAUACCCAUCAAUUGCACUGUAAAUACAGAUAUUUGAUCAGACAGUUC
rnacentral:lncRNA from 1 species